GCCUGAUUAGCUCAAUUGGAUUUAGAGCACCCGCCUACGAAGCGGGGAGAUGCAGGUUCGAGUCCUGUGUCAGGUGCCA
rnacentral:tRNA from 1 species